UCGCCCAGCCGUGCCCGGCGCGCUAAGGGGACGUGCGAGGGGGCCGGGAGAGCCUCUCCCGGGCUGCGUGCCCCGGGUUCGCGCGGCGGGGCGCCCGGGCCCCCUCCCAGGCCCCCUCCCAGGCCCCCUCCCAGGCCCCAGCGCGGUGCAGCGCCCCAGCAGUCAGGCGGGAGCGGUGCGCCCGCCUCCGGGCCGGACGGGUUUCGUAAUCGCGUCGCCGCCGUUUCCGCCGAGAGCCAGCCCCACCUCUGCCGGCCCGCCCUCGGCUCCCCCGCCGCGCCGCGGAGCCAGCCCGGGAAGCCCACGGCGGCGGGCCCGGAGCGGGAGCCCCCCCGCCCCCGCUGCAGCCGCGCGCCUCGACGCUGGAGCCCCGGCAGGUUCUGGGUCUGAAGAAGACAUAACCCUGGUGCCUGCCUGCUUCCCUGCUGUGGCCCUGCUUGUCCCUCAGGGGCUGAGACGCUGACUGACCUUCACUGCCCAGCCCAGGGUACCUGGGACCCCACCAUCUCUAGGCCCGUCCAGCUGUUGUUACACUCCAGGGGCUGAGGAGUGAGGAGUUAAGGCACCAGAGUGAAAGCCCUCUGGGGCCUCAAGCAGAGGAGUGAAACUGGAACCAUCGGGGAACAUGAGUGAAUUUUGGCACAAACUGGGUUGCUGUGUGGUAGAGAAACCCCAGCCGAAGAAGAAACGGAGACGAAUUGACCGGACCAUGAUUGGGGAACCAAUGAAUUUUGUCCAUCUGACUCACAUUGGCUCGGGGGAGAUGGGUGCCGGAGAUGGACUUGCCAUGACAGGUGCAGUUCAGGAGCAGAUGAGAUCCAAGGGAAACCGAGACAGGCCAUGGAGCAAUUCUAGGGGAUUGUAGCUCCAACUGAAAUGGUUCUGCUGUCUGAAGCCUCCACCACAUGUCCAGCCCAAAAGAGAUGCUGCCUCUCCUGAAACCGUGACCCCAAGGCUCUUCUUUUCCCUAUCUGCCUGUUAGUGCCUCAGAAGGCUUGGGGGCUGGACUCCCUCUAUUCCCUCUGGCUGUAGCCCCUCCUGGAGAUGGGGUCAAGGCAGCAGGACUGACCAAGUGACUACUGGUUGGCCAGAGGAGCUCAGCUGAAACCCUGGACACUCUCAGAUCUGAGAUAGGAGUUUUCUGGGAACCUGGGAUGCAUUCCCUUCUCCUGAAUGACGGUCUAGGUGCCAUCUGUUUUUAAACUCUUAACCUGGAACUCCUUAAAUAGGGUAGGUGGGUGAGGUUACCAAAGCUGAAGCCGGCUUUGCUGAGAAUCUCCUUACCUCCCUGGCCUUCUCCUUUUUCCUCCUGGGAUGAACUGAAGCAGACGUCAAGCAGGGGGUAGGAGGUUGACCACUGCCUAGUCUACUCUUUGUCUUUAGAUCUCAGACCUUAAGCUCACAGUCCUUCAAUAUCUUUGCCACUACCAGCUCUUUCUCUAUUUGGCCUCUAAAUUACCCCCUUCUUCUUCUACCUCUACCCUUAAUCCCAUCCCCAUUACAAACCUUAUUGUUUCCCAUUGAUUAAGAGCUAAAAGUAAGAAGUGGAUCUUAACCUGAUAGUAUCCCGUUUAAGUCUUGGAGACCUGGCCACCCUCUGCCAAUCUCCCUGCUGGUCCAGGUGAGGAGGAAGAGGGAUCUGGAGAGAAACCCAGAAUACUCCAAAACUAGACUCAGAGUGGACUUCCUAACCAUUGAGGAUCAGAGGGGUGACAGGUUGAAACAAUCUCUGAGUUUAGGGAUCUUAAGAUCCUCACAGCAUGGGAGCAGGGGCACCUUUAGAGAAAGGAUUCUCAACCUGGGCACAUAUGACAUUUGAGUUAAAUAAUUCUUUGUAAUGGAGGGGGACUGUCCUAUGUAUUAUAGGAUGUUCAGUAGUGUAUCUGGCCAACCAUAGUUAUGACAACCAAAAAUGUCCCCAGAUAUUACCAAGUGUCUCCUAGGAGGCAAAAUCACUGCCAGUUGAGAGCCACUUCUCUAGAGUCAAGGUAUUUUUCUCUAAAGCGUUUUCCCCACUCUACUGCCGUCCCAUUAUUCAUCCUAAGCCUGAGCCAUAGAUGAACCAGGUCCUCUUGCAAAGUAGGCUCAGUAGGGCUACACAUAUCUCUAGAACAGUUCUUUAUUCAGUGUGUUUCUUGUGCUUGCAUGGGUUCAUGUCUCUGAUGAAUGUGUAUGAUGCUUCUCCAUUCUUGUUUAGAGGAGGGGUUCCUGCAGUGUGUAGGUGUGAACAGAGUAUGGUGAGAUUGAGAAAGGGAGAAAAAGCAGUAGAGCCACAGACACCCAGGAUUAUCGUCUGCAAACUUUAAACUCUACCAGACACAAAUAAGACUCAGGGAGUUUUGUCUGAAGACCAGGUCCCACUCCCCACCAGGCCAAAGAGUCUGCUUUAGGUGGGAAAAUAAUGCAGGAGCAGGGUCUUUAGGCAGUUUGUUUUCUCAGGGGUUUUUUCUUCUGGCCCCUUCCUUGCACGGUGGUUAGAAAGGCAGAACAAGACUGGUGAGCUCCUGCCUGCUUGGAGAUGGGUAUGGGGUGGGGGGUGUCUCUCAUUAGCUCAGUAACAAGAUAAACAGCCUGUUUGAUGGCGAUGGGGUCAGGAAGGUGGGAACUAGGAUCCACUCUGCUGAGUCCACCAUCCAUCCAGUUUGCCCCACCUAUAGUGACAGGUUCUAAUUUCAUUCCAACUUCAGUAUAUUUGCUGCCACCACUUUUCAGGGUCUAAGGUCGGUCAUACAUUCCCAGUUUACUCUGUUCUAAUCUAGCUAGUUGUUCUGAAAGUAGCUCAUUUUGUUGUCCUAAAGUAGCUUAAUAGCCUAAGGGUUAUAUUCAAUCUGAAGGGUUAACAGGAUAGGGUAGAAAGACAGGAGGACUCGAGGAUUGUCUGGUCACCCUGAUCUUCCACCUUAUUCUAAUGCCUUUUCUUUGGACACAGCCUUUGGUGUUCUCUUGCCUUUAGCUACCUUUUCUAACAUGUAUGCUACCAUCACUUUAACAAUAUUUGAGAGUGAUGGAAAUGGGUUUGAGAGUCAUAAUUUAUAUUAAAAAUGUGUUGGACUUUUAAAUACAUUUUUCAAAUAAAAAAAAAGUUUAAACAAAAU
rnacentral:lncRNA from 1 species